rnacentral:rRNA from 1 species
UACGGAGGGUGCAAGCGUUAAUCGGAAUUACUGGGCGUAAAGCGCGCGUAGGCGGUUUGGCAAGUCGGAUGUGAAAUCUCUGGGCUUAACUCAGAGAGGCCACUCGAUACUGCUAUGACUAGAGUCCCGGUAGGGGACCAUGGAAUUCCUGGUGUAGCGGUGAAAUGCGCAGAUAUCAGGAGGAACACGGUGGCAAGGCGGUGGCUGGGCCGGCACUGAGCUGGACGGAGCGAAAGCUGGGGAGGCAACGG